GGAAGGCGUUGAGAAGAGUGAGCGUACGAGUCAGCAUCAUCGAGAAAACCCCAGAAAGUGACAAAUACUUCAGAAUUAAAGCAGAUGGACAAUCCCACUGAAGAUGGUGAUUAUUCUGACUCAAGUCUUUUUGGAUCAGAUGAGGAAUACAAACCAACUAAGACAUCCUCUGAGUCGAGUGAUGACGAGGAGAUAUUCCAUCCAAAGGUAGAAAAAUUGUUCUUAUGAUACAUCCAGUGAAGACUCUACAAGUCAUCAGACAUAUGAAGCAGAGGAGCACAGUCAUGUCUGCAAUUCGUAAAGAAGGUAACCCAUUAACCUAUGUAAAAACAAAAGAUGAGCAAAGAAGAUCCUUCUUUAACCAUAAAAGCAUUUACAAAAAGGGAAGGCAAACGAGUUUGGCACAGAAGUCAUUAUUGCUUCUACUGUGGCCAAUCAAAUUUAAAGAUGGCAAGGCAAUUGGAAAGGAAACAUAAGGCAUCACAAAAUAAAUUCUGUGGGAGGGUUUGUGAACACAUAAAGGAACAAACUACACAAUCAACUCUGAGACGGUGCAGUCUCCUACAAAAGGAAAGAUGACAGAAGUACAAACGAGCACGAAAGCAACACAUUCUACCCGUAUGUAAUCAACUCUUUUCACGCGUAGCAAGUCUACUCCUGUAGCGUUCACACGUCCCAUUUUAUAUCGGUGCUGCCCCGCAUACUAGCAUUUACUCCAGAGUAAAUGUUUAAACCACCUCCUGAGCAGGGUUACAUUUGCUCCGUUUUAAGCUGUUUUCAGGGGCUACACUGGUGUAACUUUGUACGUGGCAACGCUCGACAUGGGGGCAGUCGGCUUUUGGGGUGGGGGGGGGGCAGAACGGAUGAAUGGACAUGUCAAGAGUUUUAAUUUCUCCAUAAUUUGUUCCGGUCAGUUGUCACGCAGUAUGAGGAACAUAUAUAAAUUAUAUUUAAUCCUUGUGUAUUUUUAGCCGUUA